UUUCCGUAGGUGAACCUGCGGAAGGAUCAUUACAACAAGGCCACGGGCCCCCGAAGCUCCGGCGGAAGGGGCACCGGCCUGACUUAUAUACCCACCCUUUGCCUAUGUGUACCUCUAUCGCUUCCUCGGCGGGUUCGCCCGCCGCCAGGAACCCACGCCAACCUUUGCAUUAUACAUCAACACUUCUGAUACCCACCAAAACUAUUACAACUUUUAACAAUGGAUCUCUUGGUUCUAGCAUCGAUGAAGAACGCAGC
rnacentral:misc_RNA from 1 species